CUAGUAAAAUUUUUUACUUUUAAAAGAAUAGAUGGCAAAUUUUGCAUCUGUAACGACCCAGCCUACUAGUAAUAAUUACUCGUUGGGCCCAAACACCGGCUCAAAAUGUUUAAGUUCAGUUAUUAUUACGAAUGUCUAAAACUUAGUUUCGUAUUGAGGCCUAUCUAACGCUAUUAGAUAAAAUGGAGUUGAGGAAAAAGCAUAUAGGAAUAUGCUUUUACGUUCUCCGAUAGGACCGCAGAAAAUAUAUCAUAAUCAACUCAUCACGAUAUGCGGAACACAAUAUUACGUACGGAACACAAACAUAGUAUUUUUUCAACGUACUUUCUCACGUAAUGCAAUCUCUCCGCAAUCCCAAACAAAGCCUAAGUCUCUUAUAUACCCAAUCACAUUUUCAUUCCUCUCCGAUAUGAGAUUAUUGGGGUGUGACAAACUUCUCCCGUUAAGGCCAACCUUGUCAUCCAAAAUCUGGCAUAGCCGGUCAUCUUGUCAUUCAGACUCCGUCAUCGCCUAUCACUUUAUCUUUCAGACCCUAACUCAGCCGAAACUCGCCACAUAAUUCUGACCGGUGAACCGACUCUGAUACCAAAUAUAACGACCUAACCCACUAGCAACAAUAACUCGUUUGGCCCAAACACCGGCCCAAAAUAUUUAAACUCAGUUAUUAUUAUUAGUGUCUAAGUCUCUUAUAUACCCAAUCGCGUUCUCAUUUUUAUCCAAUGUGAGAUUAUUGGGGUAUGACAGCACCAUUAAAAUCCCUUUUCAGUUUACUUCUCAGCCCAUUCCAAAUCUAAUGGUUUGUAUAUCUAUAAUAGGGUUAAUUGCAUAUAACUUUCUGUAAACAUAUCGAAUAACUGAUAUAUUCCGAUAAAGUUUAACUUUUUAUUUUUAUCCCUAUAAAAUGUAAGGAAAAUUUUAAAAUAAUAUAUUUUGUUUAUUGUUUUUAGUGAAUGGAUGUGAUUCUUCGUGAAAGGAUGCAAUCCUUAGUAAAUGGAUGCAACUCUUAGUGAAUGGAUGCAACCCUUAGUGAGUGGAUGCAACUCUAAUCAAAAGGUAUGACUCUUAGAGUGAAAGGAUGUGACUUUUAGUGAAAGAAUAUGAUAUGAAAAGACACAUCUUUAUAGUGUGUCUCUUCGUACAUAUGCCCGUUGGAAUCAAUGGUUAUAUUCAUUGAACUUGAUUCAUAUAACUAUUUGGUAGUUAUGAUCAAAUGAAAAGUCACAAUCGAAAGGUCACUUCACGAAACACCUAUUCAUGAAUAGUCACUUCACGAAACACCCUUUCGUGAAUAGUCACUUCAUGAAGCACCCGUUCGUGGCCUAUAUAAGUCCAUAGCAUUGGUUGCAGAAGGAUACAGACAGAAAACAGUUGAAGAGUUGAAGUCUUCAUUCAUAAUAAUUCCAUUCUUGUUUUAUAUUCUAUUUCUUUUGACAACUUAAUCGAGUGAGUGCUCAAAGGCUCGACUUCGUGUGUGCAAACGCAGUUGAGGUUUACGCUUCAUUGUAUCCUGGGAGGUUGUUCGUUGACCCGGUGCACACCAAAUUGUUAGAACGGUGGGGACGGAUUAAGCCUUAAGGAAAAUGGCAUUGCUACACGCCUUGAAGCCUUUUAAUUUUUCUAUUUCAUACCUUUAUCACAAACUGUUCCAACAUAUGUAGCUAUACACUC
rnacentral:lncRNA from 1 species